AAGACCUUGCGCUUCUGGAGCGGCCGAUGCCUGAUUAGCUUGUUGGUAAGGUAAAGGCUUACCAAGGCUUCGAUCAGUAGCUGGUCUGAGAGGACGGCCAGCCACACUGGGACUGAGACACGGCCCAGACUCCUACGGGAGGCAGCAGUGGGGAAUUUUGGACAAUGGGGGCAACCCUGAUCCAGCCAUGCCGCGUGAGUGAAGAAGGCCUUCGGGUUGUAAAGCUCUUUCAGCCGGAACGAAACGGUUACGGUUAACACCCGUGACUACUGACGGUACCGGAAGAAGAAGCACCGGCUAACUACGUGCCAGCAGCCGCGGUAAUACGUAGGGUGCAAGCGUUAAUCGGAAUUACUGGGCGUAAAGCGUGCGCAGGUGGUUUUGUAAGUCAGAUGUGAAAUCCCCGGGCUUAACCUGGGAACU
rnacentral:rRNA from 1 species